rnacentral:rRNA from 1 species
AAAUUGAAGAGUUUGAUCAUGGCUCAGAUUGAACGCUGGCGGCAGGCCUAACACAUGCAAGUCGAACGGUAACAGGAAGCAGCUUGCUGCUUUGCUGACGAGUGGCGGACGGGUGAGUAAUGUCUGGGAAACUGCCUGAUGGAGGGGGAUAACUACUGGAAACGGUAGCUAAUACCGCAUAACGUCGCAAGACCAAAGAGGGGGACCUUCGGGCCUCUUGCCAUCGGAUGUGCCCAGAUGGGAUUAGCUUGUUGGUGGGGUAACGGCUCACCAAGGCGACGAUCCCUAGCUGGUCUGAGAGGAUGACCAGCCACACUGGAACUGAGACACGGUCCAGACUCCUACGGGAGGCAGCAGUGGGGAAUAUUGCACAAUGGGCGCAAGCCUGAUGCAGCCAUGCCGCGUGUAUGAAGAAGGCCUUCGGGUUGUAAAGUACUUUCAGCGGGGAGGAAGGGAGUAAAGUUAAUACCUUUACUCAUUGACGUUACCC